UAGAGGCAUGGCCCAAACUUGUAUGUGAGUGUGUGUGUUUACUAUAAAAUGAGGCUUAGACACCUUCAUUUCUCACUCAGAAAAUCUGUCAUCAUCUUCCUCUUCUUUCCCUCUCUCUCAAUCUUGAUCUCUAUCUCCCUAUAUAUCACCUUGAAGAUCAUCACCAUAAACCACCAUUCCACCACCCCAUGUUGCCGCUGCUUUGUAGUGGCGCAUGAGCAUAGAUGUGAUGUUUUGGACGAGGGAUUACGGAUAUAGGCCUGUAGAUAUGAAAUAAUGUAGUAAGGCUUAUAUUGUACUGUUUAUGCUUUUGAUCUGUACGAACAUGACAUCCCGAGUCUUUUAAUGAAAUACAUUUCUAUGGAAAUGCUUUUGAUAAAUCUUUAUCAUAUUUUGUUUUGGGACAAAUUCCGCAAUGCUUUUAUUUAAAAUGUUACUCUGAUUUUUAAACAAAGCAUAAACAAACCGAUCUUUUCUGGCCGUGAUUUUGGGGAUGUCACAGUAUGGGUUGGGUUGAGGUUGUGCUGCUCUGUGAUGUAGCCAACAAACCCUAGAGUAUGCCAGAUAUGAACUGAGGGUCAGAGAAGGCAUGCCAGACUCAUACUGAGGACCCAUGAGCAUUCCAGAUAGGAGUUGAGGGCCAGGAAGGGCAUGCCAGACUCGUACUGAGGGCUUAGUGGUAUUCAUUCCAAGGACUGAUCAUGCCGGGGAGCAAGCCAGACGUAAGCUAUGAGCCGAGGGCAAGCCAAAAUUAUGUUGUGGGCUCAGGGGUAAUUCAGUCUGUUAAGUUGCGGACUCAUUACAUGUUGUUAUUAUAUUUGUGCUAUUUCUUAUGUAUCGGUAUUUUGGGGGAACUCACUAAGCUUUGGACUUACAGUUUUGGUUUGUGUUUCAGGUACCUCAUAGGAUCGCAACAAGGCGAAGGCGUGAUUGUGCACCUCCUCAUGUUUUAGUUUUACGAUUUUGGGAUUUCUCUGAUGUGAAACUUAUUUUGAAAACAAUUUGUAAACAAUGUUGGUUUUGGGUUGUUUAAAAAGUUUAAAAUUUUCAAGAA